UCGAGAAUUUUUCUCAAUGGGCGAAAGCCUGAAGGAGCGACGCCGCGUGGGGGAUGAAUGGCUUCGGCCCGUAAACCCCUGUCAUUUGCGAACAAACCUUUUCAUUUAACACCUGAAAAGCUGAUUGUAGCGAAAGAGGAAGGGACGGCUAACUCUGUGCCAGCAGCCGCGGUAAUACAGAGGUCCCAAGCGUUGUUCGGAUUCACUGGGCGUAAAGGGUGCGUAGGUGGUUGGGUAAGUCUGAUGUGAAAUCUCUGAGCUCAACUCAGAAACUGCAUUGGAUACUAUCCGGCUAGAGAAUCGGAGGGGGGACUGGAAUACUUGGUGUAGCAGUGAAAUGCGUAGAUAUCAAGUGGAACACCAGUGGCGAAGGCGAGUCCCUGGACGAUUUCUGACACUGAGGCACGAAAGCUAGGGGAGCAAACAG
rnacentral:rRNA from 1 species